GACGAACCGUGCGAACGUUAUUCGGAAUCACUGGGCUUAAAGCGCGUGUAGGCGGGACGGCACGUCGGUCGCUGAAAUCCCCCGGCUUAACCGGGGAACUGGCGUCGAUACGACCGUCCUCGAGGGGCGUAGGGGGACCUGGAACUUCCGGUGGAGCGGUGAAAUGCGUUGAGAUCGGAAGGAACGCCCGUGGCGAAAGCGAGGUCCUGGACGCCUACUGACGCUGAGACGCGAAAGCCAGGGGAGCGAACGGG
rnacentral:rRNA from 1 species